AUUAAUGGCCAUUUUCCACACUAUUAAUAGGCCACAGACCAAACGAUUAACCCUUGUUUUGUCUUCCCUUC